UUUAGAGAGGAAGUCACAAGGAAUGAC
rnacentral:sRNA from 1 species